rnacentral:rRNA from 1 species
AUUGAACGCUGGCGGCAUGCUUUACACAUGCAAGUCGAACGGCAGCGCGGGCUUCGGCCUGGCGGCGAGUGGCGAACGGGUGAGUAAUGCAUCGGAACGUGCCCAGUAGUGGGGGAUAGCACGGCGAAAGCCGGAUUAAUACCGCAUACGACCUGAGGGUGAAAGCGGGGGACCGAAAGGCCUCGCGCUAUUGGAGCGGCCGAUGCCGGAUUAGCUAGUUGGUGGGGUAAAGGCUUACCAAGGCGACGAUCCGUAGCUGGUCUGAGAGGACGACCAGCCACACUGGGACUGAGACACGGCCCAGACUCCUACGGGAGGCAGCAGUGGGGAAUUUUGGACAAUGGGGGCAAACCUGAUCCAGCCAUGCCGCGUGCGGGAAGAAGGCCUUCGGGUUGUAAACCGCUUUUGUUCGGGAAGAAAUCCUCUGGGCUAAUACCCCGGGGGGAUGACGGUACCGGAAGAAUAAGCACCGGCUAACUACGUG